rnacentral:rRNA from 1 species
UGCCCACUGAUAAUUUAUUAAAGGGCUGCAGUAAUUUGACUGUACAAAGGUAGCAUAAUCAUUAGUCAUUUAAUUGAUGACUUGUAUGAAAGAUUUAAUGAAAUAUAAACUGUCUUUAUAAUAAAUAUAAAAUUUAAUUUUUUAAUUAAAAAGUUAAAAUAUUUUAAAAAGACGAGAAGACCCUAUAGAGUUUUAUUUAUAAAUUAAUUGUUAUUAUUUUUAAACUUAAAAUUUAAAUUAAUUUGUAAAUUAUGUUGGGGUGAUAAAAAAAUUUAAUUAACUUUUUUUUUUUUUUACAUAAAUAAGUGGUUAAAUGAUCCAUUAGUAUUGAUUAUAAGAAAAAAUUACCUUAGGGAUAACAGCGUAAUUUUUUUUUUUAGUUCAAAUAAAAAAAAAAGUUUGCGACCUCGAUGUUGGAUUAAGAUAAAAUUUAAAUGUAGAAGUUUAAAAUUUUGA